GGUAUGGUGCGCCUGGCCCACGGUUGCAAAACCGCGAGUGUCGGUGUGCGCCUGCCAUCUUUCUAGUUAACUGGACGCACUUAACUGGGCGGUCAGCGAUCUAGAUCUUUUACUUUGAAAAAAUUAGAGUGUUUAAAGCAGGCUUGCGCUAUGAAUACAUUAGCAUGGAAUAAUAAUUUAGGACUUUAUUCCUAUUUAUUGGUUUCUGGAGUAGAGUA
rnacentral:rRNA from 1 species